CGGCGGGGGUGAGUAACACGUGGGUAACCUGCCUGUAAGACUGGGAUAACUCCGGGAAACCGGAGCUAAUACCGGAUAGUUCCUUGAACCGCAUGGUUCAAGGAUGAAAGACGGUUUCGGCUGUCACUUACAGAUGGACCCGCGGCGCAUUAGCUAGUUGGUGGGGUAAUGGCUCACCAAGGCGACGAUGCGUAGCCGACCUGAGAGGGUGAUCGGCCACACUGGGACUGAGACACGGCCCAGACUCCUACGGGAGGCAGCAGUAGGGAAUCUUCCGCAAUGGACGAAAGUCUGACGGAGCAACGCCGCGUGAGUGAUGAAGGUUUUCGGAUCGUAAAGCUCUGUUGUUAGGGAAGAACAAGUGCGAGAGUAACUGCUCGCACCUUGACGGUACCUAACCAGAAAGCCACGGCUAACUACGUGCCAGCAGCCGCGGUAAUACGUAGGUGGCAAGCGUUGUCCGGAAUUAUUGGGCGUAAAGGGCUCGCAGGCGGUUUCUUAAGUCUGAUGUGAAAGCCCCCGGCUCAACCGGGGAGGGUCAUUGGAAACUGGG
rnacentral:rRNA from 1 species